GCGAGUGAGAGAGUAAGAGACAGAGAGAAAUAAAGAGAGCGAUGAGAAAGAGCGAAGAGAGAGAGAGAGAGAGAGUUUGUAUAUGUGUGUGUGUUUGUGUGUGGGGCGCACACUGGUUUCAGGCCCCCUGGGUACUCUCUGGGUUGGACCAGGGUUGGAGACCACUGGUGUAGGGUCUUCCUUGCCCUGCGCAGCUCUCUUUCUCUCUCUGGAGUAACCGUUCCUGAUCACUGUGCUUGGAAGGAGGAGGUGCGGUGAAACGGGAUCGGCCCUCACACCUUGGCA